CGCUGACGAAUCGAAAAACGUGUGUUAUGUGAUGCUCGUUAUGUUUAAAUACAUCCGAAAUGAUUUCUCCACCGAGUAAAGAACGUCCUAUCUGGCUGUCCAUCAUCGUUUUAAUGUUUCACAAACGAAUCAUGGUGAAAGUCAUGAGAUUGGGUUUGUCAUUAUGCAUGAUGACUAAAUUCGAACGUUUGGGUCUUAUAUGCUUAUUGCUUUCUGCUAUUUUCUAAAUACUUAAUUAAAAUGUGAGUGUUUGUACUUUAAACAAGAGCAUCACCGCCCUAACUUGGCCAUAAUGAUAUUCAAGGAUUAAUUUUAUUCCCUUCUACAACAUCAAGCAUCCUGGAAUGGGUUUUAAAUGUAUUUUUGUACCAAAAAAAGAGUCUUAAUUACAGCUUUUAUUUUAUUUUAAAAGACAUUCCUACUGUUUAACAUAUGAUAAUGUUUUAAAACAACUUAAAGCAUUGAAUGUAACAUGGAUUUUCUGUAUAAUUAUACCAGAUAUAUUGCAUUUUGACAGCUUCAAUCACUCAAGGUUGACAAGACAGUUUAUUUAUAUCUUUCAACAACUUGUUUUACCUGUUUUAUAUAUUCUGAAUGCUUUCUAUGAUUCAUACAUUGUUAUUUAGGGGUUAAAUUUGUGAUUAAAGUCUACUAUAACCGUUAAAUAUAUAUAAUUUUUCUAAAUUUUGUUAUCAGGUAUGAAUGAUUAUACUUGUCAUUUAACCUAUACUACCUGAUAUAUUUUAAUGUACUAUUACUCUUUGAUUAAGAGUUCAGUCUGCUGAUACCAUUUAUCAGAUUAAAGUUCUAUUCUUUCACAUUACACUUAAAAAAUUAUUUAUAUAUGGAGUGUAUAACUUAAAUGUAUUAUUUUGUAAAUAUAAACAAGAUAUACAUGUUAAUUGUCACUUAAAUUUAAUGUGUAAAUUAUUAAUAUCCUUAUGAUUAAAUGUAUAAUUUGCUUGUUUAAGAUGGACAUAAAUCUAGUUUUUAUACUGAUAAAAAAUAUGUUGAAAUUCGUGUAAAUAUGCUGUAUAUUUAAUAAACCUCAAAUCAUUA